rfam:Culex pipiens quinquefasciatus supercont3.136 genomic scaffold, whole genome shotgun sequence.
GCGGCCGUGGCUGACUAGUUAAGCUGUUCGCUUUGUAAGCGAAUGGUUAGGGGUUCGAUGCCCUUCUGCUCCC